rnacentral:rRNA from 1 species
CAGUCGCCGCGGUAAUACGUAGGGUGCGAGCGUUAAUCGGAAUUACUGGGCGUAAGCGUGCGCAGGCGGUUAUAUAAGUCAGAUGUGAAAUCCCCGGGCUCAACUCUGGAACUGCCUUUGAUACUGUCGAUCUGGAGUAUGGAAGAGGUGAGUGGAACUCCGAGUGUAGAGGUGAAAUUCGUAGAUAUUCGGAGGAACACCAGUGGCGAAGGCGGCUCACUGGUCCAUUACUGACGCUGAGGUGCGAAAGCGUGGGGGGCAAACAGGAUUAGAUACCCCCGUAGUCCCUGUCUCUUAUACA